GACGAACGCUGGCGGCGUGCUUAACACAUGCAAGUCGAACGGUAAGGCCCUUCGGGGUACACGAGUGGCGAACGGGUGAGUAACACGUGGGUGAUCUGCCCUGCACUUUGGGAUAAGCCUGGGAAACUGGGUCUAAUACCGGAUAGGACCACGCGCUUCACGGUGUGUGGUGGAAAGCUUUUGCGGUGUGGGAUGGGCCCGCGGCCUAUCAGCUUGUUGGUGGGGUAAUGGCCUACCAAGGCGACGACGGGUAGCCGGCCUGAGAGGGUGACCGGCCACACUGGGACUGAGAUACGGCCCAGACUCCUACGGGAGGCAGCAGUGGGGAAUAUUGCACAAUGGGCGCAAGCCUGAUGCAGCGACGCCGCGUGAGGGAUGACGGCCUCCGGGUUGUAAACCUCUUUCAGUAGGGACGAAGCGCAAGUGACGGUACCUACAGAAGAAGGACCGGCCAACUACGUGCCAGCAGCCGCGGUAA
rnacentral:rRNA from 1 species